CUCAUGUAAUCGUGGCAGACGGCUCAGUAACACGUAGUCAACCUACCCUUUGGAGGGGGACAACGUCGAGAAAUUGACGUUAAUCCCACAUAGGCCAACAAGUUUGGAACAACUGCUGGCCCAAAGGCGCGCCGAAUUGUAGGCGUUGCGCCGAAGGAUGGGACUGCGGCUGAUUAGGCUGUUGGUGGGGUAAUGGCCCACCAAACCAAUAAUCAGUAGGGGUUAUGGGAGUAAGAGCCCCGAGACGGGCACUGAGACAAGGGCCCGAGCCCUACGGGGUGCAGCAGGCGCGAAACUUCCGCAAUGCGCGAAAGCGUGACGGGGGUAAUCUGAGUGCUUCCCGAAAGGGGAGCUUUUAGCGAGUCUGAAUAACUCGUUGAAUAAGUAGCGGGUAAUUGCUGUGCCAGCCGCCGCGGUAACACAGCUGCUACUAGUGGUGUCCACGAAUAUUGAGUCUAAAGCGUUUGUAGCCGGCUCAGCCAGUUUUCUGUCAAAUCUUUCGGCUUAACCGAAAGGCGCGCAGGGAAUACUACUGGGCUUGGGAGUGGGGGAGGCCAAAGGUACACUAGGGGGAGCGGUAAAAUGCUGUAAUCCUUGGUGGACCACCGGUGGCGAAAGCGUUUGGCCAAAACACGUCCGACGGUGAGAAACGAAGGCUAGGGGAGCGAAUCGGAUUAGAUACCCGAGUAGUCCUAGCAGUAAAUGAUGCAGACUUGGCGUUGCAUUUGCCUCGUGCGGAUGCAGUGCCGUAGCGAAGGCGUUUAGUCUGCCACUUGGGGAGUACGGUCGCAAGACUGAAACUUAAAGGAAUUGGCGGGGGAGCACCACAAGGGGUGGAUGCUGCGGUUCAAUUGGAUUCAACGCCGGGAAGGGCGAAUUCGUUUA
rnacentral:rRNA from 1 species